rnacentral:misc_RNA from 1 species
CCAGAGAUGGUGGGCCCCCGCGCCCCCGUCCCCAACCCUUUGUUGACUAACCAUUUUGCCUCGGGGGCAGAGCGUCCGCCGCCGCCCCCGGAGGACCAUCAAACGCUGUCUCUGUACGUCGGAGUCAAAUGCAAAUGAAUGA